rnacentral:rRNA from 1 species
UACGUAGGGUGCAAGCGUUGUCCGGAAUUAUUGGGCGUAAAGAGCUCGUAGGCGGUUCGGCAAGUCGGCCGUGAAAACCUGCAGCUUAACUGUGGGCUUGCGGUCGAUACGGGCAUCACUGGAGUUCGGCAGGGGAGACUGGAAUUCCUGGUGUAGCGGUGAAAUGCGCAGAUAUCAGGAGGAACACCGGUGGCGAAGGCGGGGUCUCUGGGCCGAUACCGACGUGGAGGAGCGAAAGCCGUGGGGGAGCGAACAGG